rnacentral:rRNA from 1 species
GUGUCAGCCGCCGCGGUAAUACAGAGGGCUCGAGCGUUAUUCGGAAUCACUGGGCUUAAAGCGUGCGCAGGCGGAGGCGUAAGUGUCUUGUGAAAUCCCACGGCUCAACCGUGGAACUGCGGGGCAUACUGCGUCUCUUGAGGUCGGUAGAGGUCGCCGGAACUGUAGGUGUAGCGGUGAAAUGCGUAGAUAUCUACAGGAACGCCAAUGGUGAAGACAGGCGACUGGGCCGAUUCUGACGCUCAGGCACGAAAGCGUGGGGAGCAAACAGGAUUAGAUACCCUGGUAGUCCACGCCGUAAACGAUGCAUACUAGAUUCGGGAGGUUCUGACACCAUCCGAAUCGUAGCAAAAGUGCUAAGUAUGCCGCCUGGGGAGUACGGUCGCAAGGCUAAAACUCAAAGAAAUUGGCGG